rnacentral:rRNA from 1 species
GACGAACGCUGGCGGCGUGCUUGACACAUGCAAGUCGAACGGUAAGGCCCUUCGGGGUACACGAGUGGCGAACAGGUGAGUAGCACGUGGGUGAUCUGCCCUGCACUUCGGGAUAAGCCUGGGAAACUGGGUCUAAUACCGGAUAGGACCACUGCCUGCAUGGGUGGUGGUGGAAAGCUUUUGCGGUGUGGGAUGGGCCCGCGGCCUAUCAGCUUGUUGGUGGGGUGAUGGCCUACCAAGGCGACGACGGGUAGCCGGCCUGAGAGGGUGACCGGCCACACUGGGACUGAGAUACGGCCCAGACUCCUACGGGAGGCAGCAGUGGGGAAUAUUGCACAAUGGGCGCAAGCCUGAUGCAGCGACGCCGCGUGAGGGAUGACGGCCUUCGGGUUGUAAACCUCUUUCAGCAGGGAAGAAGCGAAAGUGACGGUACCUGCAGAAGAAGCACCGGCUAACUACGUGCCAGCAGCCGCAGUAA